rnacentral:misc_RNA from 1 species
AAGGAUCCUUAUGUCUCAAUGAUAUUUCGCGAUCAAGACAAUUGUAAGUUGUUACAACUCACAAGCAAACUAUACAUUCACUGAGACCUAGCAGGCACAUUCAUUCCGUUUAACCUGAAGUUUUUUGACUUUCCAAUAAGUCUCCGACUCUUGAAUACACUCUUAACAAUUUAUAGAAGUCUAGCAUUCUCUAAGGUACACAAACCACUUUAAAGAACCUUGUAUGAAAGAUUAGGCAUGAGAAGCUCCUUGUUUUCUGUCAUUAACGAGCGAACCAAUUGUUUUAAACCAACGCAUAAGAUUCCGAUGGUCCUUCACAUAGAGCCAAGCUUGUAGAAAUGGAAAGAGGCUUUCGUUAAUUCCUCGCUCUUCAAUGAAACUGUGUAGAGCAUCUCUCAUUUUCUCAUCAAUAUCUUGAAAAACUGGCCCACCGUAAUUGGUUGGAACAGCAAGAAACCCACUAGACUCGGUCUUUGAUCUCAAUGAGACUGAGUGUAUUCCCAAAGCAUCUGGAUAUAGCCCACAAAGAAAAUGCAGCGAUUCCUUCUGCCCUGGCUUUGAAAUGUCAACGUGUAGAAAAAGCUGAUUAAUACCAUCCUCCUCUUCAUCUGCAAUACCUCCAGCAAUAAUGUUGGCCAACCGCAUGACGGAGAUACUGAUUUCCUCAUUUCCAUGUGUUCGUCUUAGCACAGGACCACCAUGAUCAAGUGCCCCCUUGAGGACAGUGAAUGGAGAAGGAGGGCUAACUUUCGGAGGAGGAGUCAUUUUGGAGACUUCAAGAUAGUGAUCUUUAAGUGACCGAAGGAUUAUACUGUUCACGGCUGAUGAUACACCCGACGACCGCCGGCAGGCUAUCGUCCGCCAUGGCUGAUGUUGUUGCUGCAGUGCGCUUCCGGCCAAUGCUAGAGCCUUCCG